rnacentral:rRNA from 1 species
UGCAGUCGACGGUGAAGGAGAGCUUGCUCUCUGGAUCAGUGGCGAACGGGUGAGUAACACGUGAGCAAUCUGCCCCUGACUCUGGGAUAACAGUUGGAAACAGCUGCUAAUACCGGAUACGAGCUUCGAAGGCAUCUUCAGAAGCUGGAAAGAACUUCGGUCAGGGAUGAGCUCGCGGCCUAUCAGCUAGUUGGUGAGGUAAUGGCUCACCAAGGCGUCGACGGGUAGCCGGCCUGAGAGGGUGACCGGCCACACUGGGACUGAGACACGGCCCAGACUCCUACGGGAGGCAGCAGUGGGGAAUAUUGCACAAUGGGCGCAAGCCUGAUGCAGCAACGCCGCGUGAGGGACGACGGCCUUCGGGUUGUAAACCUCUUUUAGCAGGGAAGAAGCGAAAGUGACGGUACCUGCAGAAAAAGCGCCGGCUAACUACGUGCCAGCAGCCGCGGUAAUACGUAGGGCGCAAGCGUUAUCCGGAAUUAUUGGGCGUAAAGAGCUCGUAGGCGGUUUGUCGCGUCUGCUGUGAAAACUGGAGGCUCAACCUCCAGCCUGCAGUGGGUACGGGCAGACUAGAGUGCGGUAGGGGAGAUUGGAAUUCCUGGUGUAGCGGUGGAAUGCGCAGAUAUCAGGAGGAACACCGAUGGCGAAGG